AGGCCCUGCAGGUGGCCGGGUCGCAGGCCAGCCGCUGGAGCGGGAGCGGAGCGGUAACCUGACCCCCUGGCGACAGUAGCUGGUCGGUUGCUGGAGGCUGGGGCUACUCAUGGCCGAAGGGGCCGGGUUUGGGACACUCAAGGCCUCCAGGAGACGUGUCUUGGGCCAGGCUCCUGGAGGACUGGCAAGUAGGUAGGGGCUCCGUGGCCUUUGGUGGCAGUAAGGAGGAGGGGGCUCCAGAGACCCGAGAGUCUGGUUUGGGAAGGAAGGUGCGCCAGGCUGCAACUGGAGUCAGUGAAGUGUUGGAUGAAGUAGACCUUACUCCCGAUAUGGCUUGUGGACAGCAGAAGAUCCAGUCUCAGCAGAAAAAUGCCAAAAAGCAAGCUGGACAAAAGAAGAAACAAGGACAUGAUCAAAAGGCUGCUGUCAAAGCUGCCUUAAUAUAUACCUGCACUGUUUGUAGGACACAAAUGCCAGACCCUAAGACCUUCAAGCAGCACUUUGAGAGCAAGCAUCCUAAGACUCCACUUCCUCCAGAACUGGCUGGUGUUCAGGCAUAAAGUUGUUUACAGGUGAAUUCAUGACACCUUUGACUCUUCUACUGUCUCAGACCUUAGGUAACAAACCUGCAGCUGCUUUUCUAACAAACUGUUGAUCAGCAAAAAUAAAGGGGCUACAGAAACACUCAUUUUUAUGCUGUUCCCUUUUGGGCUUCAUGCAAAGACAAUUCUGUGUAAAUGUACAGUUGACUCUCAUUUGGAAACCUGAAAAUCAGUCCAUCCUUGUUAUAAAAAAUUUUUUUUACAAUUGUAAUUAUAUUGAUGUUCAUAUUGUGUAAAAUAACUCAUUUAAUAAAGUAGUGCUUUGAUUUUACAACAACA